CAUAUGGCAGGGGUAGGGAACUUUCUUCAGUCUGAAGAAUGUAUUCCUUUCUAGGCAACCUUUGGGGGGUGGCAGCCAUAUACCAGUUGUAGGAGGAGCCAGAAGCAAAAGUAGGUAGAACAAUGACUGUAAAUGUUUAUCUUUGUGCUGGUUUCUAGACAUCCUCUCACACUCUGUCCUCCAUCUGGACAAACAGGGAUCUUUACCAGAGUUCAGGGGCACAUUACAGCCUGACAAAAAUACUCAUGGAAGUUGUGACACAAAGCUGGUGAGGAAUUUGGCCUGGAGAAAGAGGGUGUGAGAAGCAGGUGUGUGGCCACAUUUGGCAACCGGGUCAGAGGUGCUCCACGCCUGGCCCGACAUGACACAGAUUAGUGCAUACUUUCAUCACUUUGCAUCUGCAGACUGGUAGAUUAAUAUGCUACCAGAUUUUUAUCUGUGGGUGUUAAUUUAAGACCACACCGCUUGUUAUCCACAGCCAUGCCUGCAUUUUAGAAUUCAGAAAUUGAACAUAAAAUAACAUGUUGAAAACAUAUACACACCAGAUCACUGAUAUGUCCAAAACUUAAACAGGCAACAAAGAAAUUAGUUAACAUAAUACAAAAUAUGGACAGCAGCCACCACUGUCUCCCCCUCCCCUUCUGUGGAAGCCUCUAACAAAUCACUAGCCCUUUGCCCUGAACCCCUGGCCUACCUGGCAGCAAGUCAGUAUGAACAGUUCCAAGUCUGAGGGUCAAGGCACACAAGCAAAGUACAAAGGCCAAAAUUCAAAGGUCAGGAAACACAGUUCAGGGUCAAUUCAAGUAGCCAAGGCUGAAGUCUAGCAGUCAGGAUGUAGCCCAUAGUCAAACCCAAAGCACAGUCCUGUGGAGGUCCAGGAGCAUCCAAGUCAAGGUCCAUCAACAUGGGAAGUUGAGCAGACAAAGCACCUCAGCUCUGCUUCCUUUUGUACUUUGCAUCCGGACUUGAUGAGGCAUGUGGACCCUCACCUGUUCGGAGCCUACUCCAGCUGAGAAAUCACACACUUCCUCCCAGAGCUAGUGAGCCCCACCUGAUCAGCUAGGGAGCUGGGCUGUGGGCCCUAACCUGCCUUAGCCUCCUAGAGCGCCACUCCCACAGCUCCCUACACCUCAUAAAAUCAUAGAAUUGUAGAGUUGGAAGGAAUGGUAUACAUGAUUCUAUCUCUGAUCUUCUAUUACCACAAUUUUAAAUAAUUUACAAGUGUCCUGAACAGAUUUGACUCUCUUGACUCCUCCCUUCACCUUUCUUCUAACUAAUCAAUAUGUUUACAGAAUAUUCCAGGUUUUGAAAUUAAACAGGACCCUGUUGGGCUUUCUGAGUAAUUUUCUAUUUUCACGUAUGUUGGAUCUGACAGCUCUGAGACACCUCAAUCUCUGUUCCAAAGCAGUUCAAACAACACACCACAUAGUGAGCACUCUUCAGAAGACAGCCCAAACUCUCCUCUUCCGCCACCUUCCCACCCCAUCCCCGUACCCCACAAAUUAUCACCUCCUCUAAAGCUCCAUCAUUUAUUGUAUCUAGAAAUGUUGUGUCUUUGUGACCAAACCCCAAAACAAAUUUACUCAGUCAAUGUGAGGGUAGUUAAUAUACAGGGUACUAUAUAAAGCAGAAUAAACAAAUCACAGGAGCAAUCUGGAUUUCUAUAGAGGGUGUAAAGAGAGAUGUAAAGGUAUUAUUAUUAUUAUUAUUAUUAUUAUUAUUAUUAUUAAUUGAAUUUAUAUCCUGCCCUAUACCCGGAGGUCUCAGGGCGGUUCACAGAACAAAAUCAAAAUAUAAAACCACAAAAUAUAUAAUGAAAAUGAAAAUGAAAAUAACAACCCAAUUGUAGCAAUGCAAUUAUGCAUAGUGAGGCUUGGCUUCUGAAUUGGAUGAGGAUAAAUAGGAGUUAUUAUGGGGGGGCACAGCAGCACUGUGGGUCAUAAAUUCAGUAGCAGUGCGUCUGCUUUGCAUGCAGAAGAUCUCAGGUUCAAUCCCCAGCAUCUCUAGGUAAGAAUGGAAAUGUCCCCUGUCUGAAACUCUGGAAAGCUGCUGCCAGUUUGGUUGACAAUACUAAGUUAGAUGGACCAGUGGUCUGAUUUGAUGGAAGGCAGAUUCCUUUGUUGGUAUGCUCCCUCUCGUAUGUUCUCAAGUGCUUUGAACAUUCUAAAGUGCUGCCUAAAUGCUAGCUUUAACAUUAGUAUUAUUAGUAUUAUUUCAGAACCCCUGCACCACAGCAGGUGGAAAGUCUUGAGGGCUCAACCCCCUUUUUAAAUUGUUUAAACAACACAAACGCCUAGGAGCACAUUAACUCUCUAAACAACUGGAAAUCAUUUUCCAGGGCUGCCUGUUCAAUGAGAGCCAUUCAAUUCCUUGAAAUGCAAGCUAUUUUCGAGUCAUUUAGCGCAGCAAAUGGGACAGGUCCCAAUCUGUUUCUUCAAAUUUCUGUAAUUUAAAAGGGACAUAACUGCAUUUUUUAUUCUAAUGAUCAUUGCAAACUCAUGUAGAAAAUGUAAAUGCACAAUUCAGAAUGAUCUUGCAGCGCAAGGCAUAGCCUCUAUUAAUGUGUUCCAAUUUGUAAUUCUUUACACAGUAUGAGAUUGGAAAGCUGUGAUUAAAAUUAAUUAGGUUAAGUAAAGUUUAUCCCCCCCUGAGCACUGCUGUUUGAAGAAAGAAAUGGUACAACACUCGCUACAUCUGGCGCUGCAGGAAGCAAAGGCAUCAGGCAGGAGAGCGAGGCUGCUUAGCUAGACGUUCCAUGCUGCUUAUUUGGCACACCUUAUGCACCACGUCCUCUCUUCCAAGAGCUAAUUGAGACUAAAAUACUUGCUGACACCUUGCAAAAUUUUAACUACUAUCUGUGGAUGUCGCAGAAACUGGUCACUGAAACAGUUAUUUGGGGCAGGGUUGUUUAUUAAGAAAAAGUGAGAGAAGAAGCCCUGCCUUAGUGAAUGUGGGGCUCCCUCCUUAAGUAUCAAAGAUAUCGCACCUGUUCAAAAGAGUAAGAAAACAUGCUGUCAGAUUUUCAUUGCAAUAUUCAGCUGAUUAAAGCAUUGGUAAGGCACACAGAUCUCAGUUGCUACUAGGCAUGGUACACUUUUUUAAAGGAGAUUAUACAUAUGCAUAUACAUAUACAUAUAAUUUGCACAUGCUGGCAUGUUAGCAUCACAUUCUCCCAUACCCUUUUGGAAAGGUGAGCCAUUACUGUAGCUGCCUUGCCAAUACGGUUGGUGGUUAUGGUGGAAAGCAGGUACACAAAAUUGUCUACCCACUCAAGCAUGUGGUUACCACUGCUGAUGCGUGGGGUGCUAUCAGUCUCCUGACCCAGGAUGUUGGUCUUCAUCAGGCUGAACUCCCUGCAGUCUUGGGCAAAGCGGUUGCUGAGUCUCUGUAGAGCUUCCACAGAGAGUGCUCUCAAGGCUGCAUCAUCUGCAAACUGCAUCUCUUGGAAAAGGACAGGCCACACCUUUGUCUUGGCACAGAGACAUGUGGAAGACCCCUGUUGCUCCUUGAAUGAAAGUACAAAUCAUCUUUAAGCAAGCUAAAGAGAUAUGAGAGCAUGAGGGAGAAGAAUGUGCCAGAGAGAGUUGGGGCGAGAACACAACCAUGUUAGUCACUGAAAAACUCAGCCCUGCUAUGAAAACCUAGAACAUAUUGUCCCUUCUAGGGCGAUGAACCUGAAGCCCUCUAUAUGUUGUUUAAGUCACAUAAGGUUGAACCAGCAGAACCAGUUAUCACAGAUGUUGACAGAUGUGCUGUGAAAUAUGUUAAAUCCACUAACUUAAUACAGAGCUUAAUCCUGCUUUGAAGUAUCUUUCAAUAUUUUAAACACUAGAUGGCAAUAGACACAUUGCUUUAUUCAAUGAGGUUGAAGAGACAAUGUCCUAAAAUCAGUUAUGACAAUGAAAAAGCAUAACCUGGAAUUUAAAUUUCUUGUUCCCAAGCCCUGUUAAUUAUGCCUACCUUGCUACAUUUCUAUCACAAUUUUAUAUUGUCCAUGAUCUGUGCCCUGAUGAUUGUAAUGUCAAUUCUGCUGAAAUUCUACCCCCUCUGAAACAUAUGGGAAAGGUCUAGUGGAUUUCAGUGGGGCCAGGGUAUUUUUCAUUUUUAAUCUUUCUUGGGAAAUAUUGAAGGUGGGCAGAGGGCAGGGAGACAUUUACUCCAGGGUAACACUUGUAGUUCAAUGUUAACCAUGCUUACUCAAAAGUAAGUUUCACUUAUUUCCUCAGCGCUUUAUUUCAAGUAAGUACGCUUCGAAGCUCCAUUCAUACAAAGAAACCUGAACUCAAAUGACAAAAGCAAGAUGUUCCACCUAGGGAGAAAAAGUAUAGUCUGUUGUAAAACAUGCUCAGCAUGCAUCCCAUGUUCAGUCCCUGGCAUCUCCAGCUGAGAAUCCAAAAUAGCUUCCUUAAAGACAUAUGGCUGGAAAGUACUUUCUGCCUGAAAUCUCCAGGAGAUGCUGCCUUUGAAACAGACUGCGGGUAGAUCCACUUCAUGCAUUUAAAACACAUUCGGUGCACAUUUAAAGCACAUGACUCGCCUCCCCCCAAAAAACAAAUCAUGGGAAUGGUAGUUUCCUCCUAAUGUAGCUACAAUUCCCAUCUCCCUAAACAAACAGCAGUUCCCAAGCCUCUUUGUGGGAGGUUUCUAUAAAUGUAUAGUGUAGUAUAAGUCCAUAUAAAGUUGCCUCUUAUGCUCAGCACAUCACACAGUAACAACAGUGCAGCCUUCAGCUGUGAGGCAUCUGUUCCUUCAAUAGUUGGGCUGGAAGCAGACAUUUCAUCAAAUGCAGUUUGUCAGUUCACAAUGACCCAACAGCAGCCUGACAGGCAGAAAUUAAGCAGGGAGGGUGCUGUUAAAAACACUGCUGCAGCCCCAUAAACAGCAGUAGCCCUCCUGACAUGACUACAAUAUUAUCGGCACUGCUGCUUUGUUUACAAGGAUGUUUUCCUUCCUUCCCCUACAAGGGCUGCUUGCAUCAUGGAAGCUAAGCUCUGGGAUGGCUUUGUGAAAAAGCUGGAUGUCACAUGCAGAACCCUCACCUGCAGGCGCUGUUUGGUUCGCCACAACUCUGCCAGGUAAGAAUAUAACUUUUUACUAAUAAACACUGUUUCCCAAACAAUCUGGAUAGAAUAUAUCAAGGGGCUACUAUUCCAUAUUGCAUAGAUGGGUCAGCUGCCAACUCUUUUUUUUCUGGCACGGCUCCAGUGCCUUUAACAGGUGUGUGGCAAGCAGAAAUUCAGGAGCUAACGCUCUCCCCAUUACUUCAUCAUCUUCCUUCGCAUGAUGAAUUUCUCCCAGGCAUGAAACUCUUAGGGUAGGAGCCUUGCCAGAUAAGGAACUGGCAACCCUUUUUUGAGGAGUGUUCAGGUCAGCAGAUACAAAGGACUGUGUCUUGAAUAAUUCCUGCAUCUUGAAUGUCUGCUCUGACAGGCAUGGCAAGUUCUACAAAGACUUCUGCACAACCAUGACUCUUCCUCUACAUUUGGUCAUGCUAACAUCCAUUAAGCAUUUUGGAUAACCAGAGUUUGUUUAAUUAACAUAUCAGAGAACACCAAAUCCUGCCAAUUGUCAACACAGAAAUACUUAUGCUCGUUAUUGAACUUACUUAGGAUUCUCUAAAAUAUCUCUUUUGUAAUAUAAACAUGGAUGGCUUUGUUUGUAUAUGUCUGUGUUUUGCCAGUUAAUAUAGUCUGUUAUCUCUUAGGUGUGAUUUCAUAAUUAUUAAAUGUUUCCAGUUCCUCAACUUGUUGCCAGGUGUUCCUCUAUCUCUUAUCAUUUGCAAAAUGUGAUAACUUGAGCACAAAGUACUGUACAACACUAUAUUCCACAGCUGAUUUUCCUGCCUACGAAGUCAGUUAAGGACACAUAUCGUCAUGUUCUAGGAAAAUGAGGCAUAGUGAAAUGCAGUUAAUUCAAACAGCCAGAAAACAGUUUGGAAGUUUUGACUCAAGAGCUGUCUGUAUAUACUGGCAUGUCAUUUGCCCCCUCCCCCCAAUUCCCUUUAAACUGGUUCUCUCUCCUUCUCUCUCUCUCUCUCUCUCUCUCUCUCACACACACACACACACACACACACACGGAUGUCCUGCUUUCUCUGACAGGACUCUUGUGCCUUUCACUGUUGCAUGACAAACAGAAAUUGUGCAAGUGUAGCAUUGUCCAGUGUUACCACAAGAACUACUUAUUUGCUAAGUAUCCAUUGCUGGUGUGUGUGGUGUUAGGGGAGGGGUAGUAGUACCUCUGGUGGAGGAUGUGUCGUAAUCGUUCUGGGGUGGUUUGCCCACCUUUGGUCCCCACCCUGCUCUCACCUGUGGAUUUUAGAAGCUGUCAGCAUGUGGCUGUGGCCACAUCCUGAGAAAAGGCUUUGACUGACCGGCUAAACCUGGUGAAGGUAGCUGAUGGGUCUCAAACCCUCAGUGAGUUUGGGGUUUCCCCUGCCUGUGAAGACAGGCUCCAGUGAAUUGAGCGGUGGAGACCAAUGGUGGGUCCAAUGGUCAAUAAGAGUGGUGACAAAAAAUAAAAUAAAAGCACAGUUGGCAACCAUUGAAAAUGGGCCAAUGAAAUAUGGAAGUUAUGAGUGAAAAUACAGACUAACAAACAGAACAUUGAUUUAAGAGUUGUUGACAGUUCAGAAAAAUAAAUUAACAAACAAAGAAGUACCAGAAGGGCACCAAAAGAAGGGGGGGAUUUGUGGCCAUCUCAAAGUUUCCUUGCUGGGGUAUGCUUAUUCUGAUAAGUUUCAAAUGGUCAAGAUGGUGAUGAUAAAGUUCUUCUGACUUAAUAUACUUUUUAAAAAAAAUUACAGUUUGAUAUAAAGUCUGCUUAGAAGGGCCUGACUAGUCAUUGUUCGUGGUUGUGCCUUUCCUGUUAGUUUGUUGUGGUGGUUUUUCAGCUACCAUGCAAACCACUGUCAAGUGUUGCUGACACUGUUGUGGAAUUACAUAGAUAAUAUUCUUUUGCCUCUUAUAAUCUCUCUAGUGGGGAGGGGGAGUUGGCCAAAGCUUGCUUAUUUUAGUUUAUUUUUUAAAAUUUUAAUAUAAAGAUAAACUAUAGAGGUAUUUUUUAAAAAUAAAAAGCAUGACCCACUAAUAACAGUAUUAAUAUUCCACUCCACACACACUCAUACUGUGUGAACUGCAGAGCACACAAAAUAUGGGAGCAUUUGAGAGAAUUCUCAUGAUCUACUAAACCUUCUCAACAGACUCAGUGCAGAUGUCCAGUGUGUUGAACUUGGACCUGGAAGACCAGGGUUUAAAUCCCCACCCAGCUAUGAAGUGAUUUUGAGUCAGUCACAGCAUCUCAGCCUAGCUACUACACAAGGGUGUUGUGGGGCUUAAAUUAGGGUGGGUGGAAAACCAUGUAUACCACCUUGAGCUCCCUGGAGAAAAAGGUGGGAUAUAAAUGCAAAUAAUAAUAAUAAUAAUAAUAAUAAAAAUAAUAAUAAUAAAAAUAAUGAUGUCACAGCCAAACUAUGCCCAUUGGGAACAGUUGUCUCAAAUGAAAUAAACAAAGUCAUAUGUCCUAUUGUGCUAUAGUAAAGCAAGGGUGGAGAACCCAAGACACAGGGUCAAAACGCAGCCCUUGGGAUUCUCCCUAAACCUCACUCCCUCCACACAGGCCACACUGUUCAUUGGUGUCACGCCCAGCCCUGACCUACAGGCGAGACUGAAGGGAACCCAAAUUAGAACCAGAAUAUAUCCCUUAAUUUAAGAUACAGGGGUAGCUGGGUCAACAUUUGGAAAUGGGGAAUGUUGGGGUGGAACCAAACUAGAUAGCUGCUAAGGCUUCAGAUACUGUUGAAAACAGCUUCCAUCUGUAUAGUUCCAUGUCUUCUCUUGUCUAAUGCCUCAUACAAAAAUCAACUCAAACCAUAACAUUUUGUCUUUUCUCACCUUUCCUAAAAAGUGACAGCUAAAAUAUGUGACAGGAAUGCCUCAGCUCUUGUGGUUUGCAACAGAGAGCUAGUUAUAAUAUAGUUCUGUGCAAAGACAUGCAAAGAGAGCAAAGGUUCUUGUGUAGUAUGAUAACACACAUAUCUGGGGCCAUAACUCAACAGGCCUCCAAUUUGAUUGCUUCUGGUAAGCAUUAACUAACUCUGCACUUCUGGACUGUGUGCUUUGCAGCCUCCUUCCUCCUGUUCUGCUUCUGAUACUUUCCAGUGACCCCUGUAAUAAUGUUUUGCAUUAUUGUAGCGAUAAGACUUGGUGGCAUAAGAGCUCAGCUUCCAAUCCGUGAUGCAUGUGAUUAUAUUAGUCUUCCUUCAGUGGCUGCAAAGUCAUAAUAAUAAAUAUAUCCCUUCUGUAAAUCUGCCCCAUUGACGUCUGAGGAAGUUGGGUUUGUUAUUGUUUCAGCAGAGAGCAUUCUGCAACUUCAUUGCUUUGAUCCUUGGCCUUACGUGGUUUUUUAAAGCUUAGCAGAGAGGAAAGGAGGGUUACGAGACUUGUAAAUGUUUCUCUUACAUCAGAUUGUCUUUCCUUGUACAAUCUGCUUGUAUGACUCAUACUUUUAUGUAUUAAAACUUGAACAUCUCACUCUCUGGAAGGCCCAGGGCCUUGUUCUAAAAGAUUUCCAAACAAUCAUUUAUUUUUUUUGUUAUGUUUAGACAUGAUUUAGAAGUACGUAAGCGAGAAUAACUGUUAAGCAAUUUCAGACAUUAUUGAUAUUAAUAAUAAAUUAUAGACUACAGGAGUCUGGAGAGGUGUGAAGCUGCUUCCACAAGAUUUAAAUCUGUUCUUCAAGAGCCUCCUCUCUGCCCACAUAAAAGGGCAGAGUGGUGAUAAACCUGUAUAAUUUUUCCUGCUGUUUUUCUUCUGCUGAGAAAAGCCUUUUGCGAGAGCAAUACAUAAAUCGUUCAGCUGCUUAAUGGUAUCCGUUAUGACUAUGUUAGGACAGGGGGAGGAACUGCCUUUUAUUGGAAGCCUAAGUAACAUUUUCAGGCAAUGGUUUAAAACUGGGCGUCAGAGGUCCCAUUUCCUGUUGGCAACAUUUGCCACUGGUUGAACUGUGUGCAGAAGCCACAGGAUAGGCUAGGACUCGAACCAAUGGCUUCAAGUUACAAGAAAAGAGAUUCCAACUGAACAUCAUAAAGAACUUUCUGACAGUAAGAGCUGUUCAACAGUGGAACGGUCUCCCUUGGGAGGUGGUGGUCUCUCCUUCCUUGGAGGUUUUAAAGCAGAGGUUGGGUGGCCAUCUGUCAUGGAUGCUUUAGUUGAAAUUCCUGCAUUGCAGAGGGUUGAACUAGAUGACCCUUGGGGUCCCUUCCAACUCUGAAUCUAUGAAUCCGGAAAUCGGUUUGCUAGUUUGCUUCAUCACCACACCAAGCUGCUGCGGGACCGGGGGCAGGGAGAAAUGGUUUUUAAGUCAGAUGUGACUGGAAGGAAUCAUUAAUGUGUUGCCAUAUUGACUGUGGCAAUUUGCCCACUAAAAGAAACAAAUGCCCACUUUGGCUUUCUCCUUGUUCUUUCAGUAAACCACCUUUGUAAGCCAGGGCCCCCUAGUAUUCUCUUAUACUUCCAGGGUUAUUUGGUGGUUCUUUUUAAUGGCAUCCAUCAGAAUCAAUAAGUAUGGAGACCUUCAGUAAUAUGCUUCAAUAGAAGCGUAUUAAUAGUUGGACUACAGGGGCCAAGUGCUCAUUUAUCAUGUUGCAUUUCCUACUGACCCAGAACGACACAAGGCCAGCAGUUCUGCUCACUGAUAUGAAUAGGGACGUAUCACAUUUAGGAAAGUUGUGGUUGCCCCCAAUUAAGGGCACACAUGUUCCAGUAGUUUGCCAACCUGUUCAACUGCAGGCAUUCUUUUUAAAAUUAAAAAUUAAAAAAUGCUGAGCACAUCAAAUGCAUAGAAGACUAAAGGUGGGAGGUAUAAAACUAAAACCACUUAAGGUUUACCCUACCACAACCACAAAUUAGACAUCAGGUAAAUGUUGGCUUAAGAAGCUCUUCAGUGGCUUGGAAACUGGCCUCACAUCCCAAGAAUGUACAAAUAUUGUUUAUAGCAUAAAGGACCAAGUGUAGAUAAUUAUUUGCAAUUGUAAGCACCGCACUAAUACAAUUAUGUAGACUGUUACGAUUUAUUGUAAUAUAAAUCAUGUAAUAAGAACAGCUGUACUGAGUCAGUCCAGUAAUCCAGCUCUGAUUAUGAUCCAGAUCUGAAUGCUUAAAAUGUAUAAUAGCCUAGGAGGUUUACAGAGCAGCGGUGGUGAAACUGUGUCUCCCCGGAUGCUGUUGGACCACAGCUCCUAUCAUCCCUAACCAUUGUCAUGCUAGCUGAGUCUUGCAGCAGGCAGCAGGCUGGGGAAGGCUGAUCUGCAGGGCCACAAGUUCCCCACCCCUGUGGUAGAACUUCUUUGAGAUACCUCUCUUAUCAGUGGUUCACUGUGUAAUGAAGAACUGAGGCAGAGCCAUUUUUCAUCAUUGGCAAAAGAGCAUCCAACACUGUUGAGCAAGCAGUCCCUCCUGGAAGACAAGGGUUCCAGCUUGUCAUUCCUCGCAAGCAGAUCUGAUGCAGAUGGGGAAGAGCCCCACAUUUUAAUGACCUAGCUGCAAGGAAAGACUACACAACUUACUCUAUGAAAAAUGUGCAUAGCAGCAAGAGCCCUUCCAACCAACUAAAAAAUCAGGAUAUUAAGUUUUCCCCAGAAGCACAGCCCUGUUUGGAACACUGCUAGGAUGAGAUACAGGCUACACUAGCUGUGUGAGUGCAUCUCCUUGCAAGCUGGAAUGUGUCUGGUACAAAGGAGGGGUGCAUUGUACAUGCAUGUGUAGUGCCUUUUUGCAAAGAUGGGGAGGCUUCAUUUUCUUACUGAUACUAUUUUGAGUACCUGAAUAGGAUCAUGUUGGGAAAGUGUUAACUCUUUUUGUGAAACCAAAUCCACCUGCAAUCACUAUCCCUAAAGUACUGCUAAAUAAAAAAUGAAGCCCCAAGACCUCAAUUUGAAUCUUUUGUAGCUAGAAUAAUAAAAAGCAGGCUCUGAAACAGAAAUAACUUUAUGAGGCAGGGAUGUUGUUCCAAUCUGUAAGUAAUGCCAUCUGGUUGUCUAACAAUCUAGGCGGUUAACAUGGUUCCCAUCAUCGUCACAGUUUGUGAUUUUCCACAUAUGGCAGCGAUUCUUCUACAAUUUUGGUGCGAGUCCUUAAAUUGUUCUGUGUGCUGAAGUCUCUUGUAAAUGUGAUUUGGCUAUACCAAAACAUAGUCUCAUGUUAAAAUUAUUUUCACCAAAAGAGUUAAAUUAGUACUAUGGUAAAAAGUUUUUAUUCUAUACUAUAUGUAUGCCAAUCUGUACAUAAAAUAAGGAAACUAAUUUGGGUGUACCCACUUCCGCUGUGGUCUAGGACCAGGAAUCUUCAGACACCAGAGUCUUCCAACAAUAACUCCAAGGAUGAGCUGGAUCCACUCCCCAUGCCAUCCCAUGUGGGUCCAUUGACCCUGCAUCUCAUCCCCUGCAGCCCAGGUAGACUCUUCUACCACCAGCCUCCAAUGACUGGUCCACAGACUUCUUGGAGGGUCCCAAAAGGUGUGAAGAGCUUACCCCAAAUAAGUUCCUGAAGCAUGAAAAUCUACUGUCUAGGGAGGAAAAAAGCAACCACUGCAGGAAAAGGCACUGGUCCUUUUUCUGCUGAUGCACAGCUCAGGGGGCAGAGCUUCCAUCUGCAAUACCAAGCCCAGACUAUAAAGACCAGUUGCUCAAAUAUGCUGCUGAGGUCACUUGUAUUUAUUUGCUCUGGCUGCAGAACUGCUCUGCAGUUCUCAACAUUAAUAGACUUGACCUCCUCCCCUGUCUGUCCUCCCAUCCCUCCCUCUGCCCCAGAGAGCAUGUGAACUUCCAGGAUUGGCUUCCUUUGCCUGGUGUUCCUGGAAUGUCAUUCUACAAGGAUCCUGGUGUAUGCUUGGGGGCUCAGUUUCAUGUGCAUUGGAGGUGGGGUGCUAUUGGGUUGUUGUUCCAGGACUGAGCCUCACCAUCGUGCCCCUGGCACGCCUGUUAAAUGAGAAGCUGUUGUUACAUUCCCAAGAUGCGCUGAGCAUUUAUCGCACCACCAAUCCUUUUCCUAGCACUUAAUGUUAAUUGCUAGCCUGGUGUUUGCAUUAGACUGAAGGAUCUGGGGACAAUUAAGGCCUGUGUCACAAAAGCAAACAUAACCAUCUCCUUCCAGAGAGUGAAAUGCAUAAUGACUGGGUAUAAAGGGGUUCUCAGAAAUCCCAAGCUGAACAUAUUCCAGAACAUGACUUUCUCUUUAAUAGGCUCCCUGCCAGAAUGACACAUCGCUCUGGCUCACUGGAGUCGUUCAUAAGCUGCCCUUUCUCCCUCUGCUCCUUCCUGCAACAUUCCCGCUUCCAUGGACAGGCACCAGGGGAUGGUGCUACCGGUGGCAAAAUACUGUUAUAUUAUUUACACUAGCAAAGCUGUGGGAGGAAAGAAAGAUUCUUUGCUCCUUGCUCAAUCUGGUGGAAAAGAAAGGGGAGGAAAAGACCACAAAAAGUACAUAAAAAUUGAGCAGCACAGAAGGAGUUGGAUGCCCACCAAAUGCUUAAUUAUUUGUGGCUGACUUGGGUUUUCCACUCAAAAUCUCUAGAUGGCUUUUGACGGUAAAGCAAUAUCAGAAAGCAUCCUGUUCCUCUUCCUGCUUUCCUUGAGAGACCCUUGCUUCAGGGAUAAUGCGCCCUGAAUAUAAACUUGAGGUUGAACCAGAAGGCUGUGGGACUUGCAAAACAAUGGCGAGGUCUGUCAAAGAGACCUAGUGAUAUGGAGUUGUUUGUUUUUCCCCCCUCCCUAUGAGCCAAUGAACCCUCUGCCCACAUAAAAUGCCCCUCGGUGCAGUAAAUAGGCACAUCAGGGAGUGUGUUGUACACCACUGCGACCCCCUGGAGAGCAGCAGGGUAAAUGCAUUUUAAAUGAAUAAAUAAUUAACCACAUGCAGGGUGUUUGUUUUGUUUUUAAGGUAGUAGAGUAUUCAAAAGCAUGACUCUCUCCGAGUCCCAUCUGCAGUCAAAAGAUUUGUAGGCUGGGAUUCUGGCUCCUUGGGACUAUUCAUCAUGCAUAGCUCGACACAUCAUGCAUCAUGUGUUUAAAACUCUAAUUUGUACUUGCAGAAAUAUGAAAGAAGAGAACCAAUCAGAGACAAAUCCCUGGACAGGUGCAGAAUUGCAGACCUGAUAAGAUGGCUCACUCAAGACAGAGUUUCUUUUGUCUUUUGUGCACAUAUUCCUGUUUUCUCUUUCUUCAGCCAGGAUGCUUGGUGAAACUUGGUCAAGGCUGUGGUUUUCUUGAGCAAACUCAUAUUUGUUCUAUUACCAUUUCUCCCACAAUAUUUGUGUUAUUUUACAAAUUAAGGCAGAUAAAAAGUUUUCAGUUUAACAUCAAUCAAAUAAAGGUUUAUCAUUGCCAUACGUUUAAAGCACUUUUCUGAGGUGGGUAGCAACUAGGGGCCAAUCUUCUUAAUGAUAACACCUCAGUUUUGGAAGUCUAUUCCCCCUCCCAAUGCACAAUCUGUUCAUCUAGAGCAGAGCUGGUAAACCUGUGGUCCUUCAGGCAUUGGUAGACUCCAGUUCCCAUCAUCCCCAACCAGCAUGGUCACUAGUCAGGGAUGGUGUGAGCUGUAAUCCAACAACAUCUGGAAAGCCACAGGUUUCCCAUCUGUGGAGGCCUUUCUGCUGAUGUUUAAACUUUACUUGAAGACGCAUGCUUAAUAGAGACUAAUUCUUCCAUUUGGCUGCUGUUUUUUUCUUAAGUUUCAUAGUUCAUCUUAACCAUUUCCUUUUUGUAUUUUAUCAUGAUAAUGUUGGUUUCUGAACUAUACUUCUGGGUAGUGUAUAACUAUCUUAAAGAAAAUGAAAUAAUAAGAUGCGUUGAUUUGUGAUGGGGUGAUGUAUGAAAGAUAAAUGAGGCUAGAACUGAUGUUCUUCUGUUCCCUUUCUGCUCUUUGAUUCCAUGAUUUAAUACAGUGCCAAAUUUGACUCUCAUAAUACUGCUUAAAUCAUAUUUCCUUAGGCAGAGGGUGGGGAAGGGGAAUUCAGCAGGUGCUACAAAUACACCCAGAUGCCUCAAGGUACAGGAUCAUUGGACGAUCGGAUAAGGAGGAUUGAAUCCAGGCAAUAUAAUUAGACACAUUCCGCAAGAAAAAAGGCACUUCCUUCAAUGGGCAAAUUAUUCACUGUCAAUUAUUCAUUUAGGUCGUCUUAUAUCCAGUGAAUUAUUCAUUCAGGUUUCCCUCUGAGCUACUCAUGGUGAUCAAAUAUGAGGUCAGAAAGCAAUUUCACCAAGAACCUACUUGCAACAGUAUAUUUAGCAGAGUAUAGGGAGGACAGCGUCAAGUUUUUCAAACUGUGUUUUUCAUACAAGGUUUUCUCAGGAGGUUUAAGCUGUUAAAAAAAAAAACCACCCUUCAUUAUUCAGCUGAAGAUAUGUAAAAAUAAAACUUGACAGGCCAGUAACCUCAUGAAAAGUUUCCCAUCCCAUUCUUCCCAAAGCAACUCCCAAGCCCUGUCCCACAUUGUUCAAGAGGGGUCCCUCAAGCUGUGGUGAGGAGGGUGUGGGAAGUUUUCCUUCCAUGAAUGCCUUUAGGUUAGUCUGAUACACAGCUGUUUAUAUUUGUGGUUUUAAUUCCAUUUAAAUGUAACUCAGGGGUUACUUUUGUGAUGCAGGGUAGCUUACAAAAUAUUUCAAAAUAAAUAAAAUCUAUUCUAGAAUCCAAGCCAUUAUCUACUGAAGGAAGAUGCUCAUCAUAAAUUGCUAAAAGCUUCAAAACUUUAAAAUAAUGGCUCUGAUUCAAUGUCUGUUUUGGGGGUGCUAACAAUCCAUGGACACUUGGGUGGAAUCUACACACAUAUAAAAAAUGCUGUGAAAAUGCUUUUUUAAAAAACGUUUUGAAAAAUACAUUGAAUUUGGCAUAGCUCGCUGUCACCAUCUAGUGUCACAUUUGUAUAUUGCCCUUUACAACACAUUUUAAACAUUUUAUUUGUAGCUGAAUAGCUGAGUCCUUGGACUUGAUGAAAAGGCAUUUCUGUUGCAUAAGAGGAAGUUGGUAGUUGUCCAUUCACUUCUUUGAAGACCCCACUCCUGGGAAGGUGGCAGCAACAUCUAGUAAUGAACAAUGGAUACGGUUCUAUAUUUGUAGUAGAGUCUGCCUUACCGAUCUUAAUAAGCACUCUUUCAAUCCCAUGUAUGUUUACUCAUUGUAAGACGCACUUUGUCUGAGGGGAUCUAUUCCCAACUAAGUGUGUAUAUGACUGGAACUUGAGUUCCUUAGCCUUUGCUCAAGUUUUGACUUCUUAUUAAAGUAGAAUAGGGAUUUCCAUGCUUAGAUUGCAACAUUUACUAUACACCAAGAUGCAUCAACACUGCAAGAUACAAAAAGCAAGAACAUGACACAGAUUAAAAAUUAGCUUCUCAUCUUCAAUGAGGCAGCAGUUAAAGAAAUUGAGCACUGAUCAUGUGUGUGUGUGUGUGUACAGUAAAAAUUGCUCUGUUUUUUAUCGUUUACCUGUGUCUGCUUUAAGAACAAAUCCUGUACCCUCCUGCCCACUCACUCACCCACACUGCCACCAAUUUCCAUGUUCUACCAGACAUGUCACAUUUUAAAACCUAAACAGGACUGUCAAAGCUGCCUGUCUAUUUACUGAUCAUCUGCUCUACCAGAUUUUAAACAGACAAGCAACAAGAAGGUGAAACAAAUGAAAGAAAAGUACAGGAAGCCUGUUUUAAGGUUUAAAAGUACCAUGAUUACGAUGAACUGAAAUGUGACUAAAAACACACCAGGUGAAUCCUGUGCAUUUAACACUGUUUCAUUUCAAUACAGUCUUCUAGAGGCAUUGUCAAAAACAGCAUUUGUCUCAAUUAAAAACGGAACAUGCACAUACAUAGUGACUUUAGUAAGCAGAAAAAUAUAUGUGGCAUUGAAGGAACUUAGCAUGUGGCCUGUCUUGCCAAAGGCAGUGGUAUAGAGUAGCAUUUUUGUUACCUCAGCCUAUGAUUCUGUGAUUGUGUAGAUUAAACAUAGGAAGUUUAUCUUGAGCCGGAGCCAAUUGUAGAGGAGGAGAAGGGAGAGGAAAGGACAUUAUUUUAAUGAAUUGCUCAUGGACAAAGAAAUGAAUAUAAAAGAGAGGUUGUGACUGCCCUUGAGCGUGUUCUAGCUAAACCAUAGUUCAAUAUACCAUGUUGUGGGAAUCGGGUCAUUUUCUGUCUGUCUGUUUAUUAAUGGGUCUCUAUGCCACCAUUUGAACUCCAAAACAGCAUUCAAGGUGGUUAACAUUAGCAAUCAAACCACAAAAUGAUAUUAAGACAUAACAGACAAGACUAUAGAAAGCCAAUGACAAAUUCAACCUCAAGUGGCAGACAAGGUGAAAGCUUGUUUAAAUGACAGUCUUUAGCCGCCGUCAAACGACAGAGAAAGGCAGCUGAAUUGGUCUCUCAGAGAGAGGAAGUCCCACAUUCUGGGUUACACAACCAAUAAAACCCUUUCAACUUUUUCUACCAUUCCUCCUUCCUUUGAUGGUGGGGUGAAGGCCCACUGCAACUAGCCUCAGUGGAUGAGAAAGUCUGAACAGGAGAGGAUGGAAUAAUGCAUUUGUCAUUAUGGUGUUUAAGAAUAUAUCAUCUCAUGGGCAAACUCUGAUGCAUUUUCUUUUCCAACGUCAUUAUUUUGUGAAGUGAAACAAAUAAGGAUAAAGAUGCUGACGUGCACUGUGCAUAUAUAGGGUGAAAGAAACCUUUUCAUUCUUACUGCGUCAGGGGACGGUCUUAGCUGUGAGAAAACAUGACCUCUGUGAAGUUGGCAAGGUCAGCUACUCAGAGUGAUUUGCUGCGUAAGAGCCAGUGACACCAGCUAAGUUGCCUCGAGGCCAUUUUACUUAGGUAGCCAAAUGCAACAAGACAUUGUUUCUGAAAUCUGAGCAAACAGCUUUCUUAGUUCCUUAAAAAAAAAAAAAAGCACGACGUUUAUCCUAGAGCAAAUAAACAGACUAACUAGUAUAUUAUUAGGGUUGGCAGGGUGUUAAGUGAAACUAUCAGCAAAGAUGCCAGUAAUCCCAUUAGCAAGGUGUUCCUAUUCCGUAUAUUCACUGAAUUUGGAAAGUGCAGGCUGCCUCUAAUUCAAGGGAAGGGUGCUUCCAAACAUAGACAAUUUAACUGCACCCAAGUCUUUCCUGUUCUGCUUUAAGCAGUGGUGGGCCUUGGGGUCUCAAAUUUCAGCACUGCCCUGUGUGAUGCCAAAAAUUGACACCCUGCGCCUCUUGCAUUCCAUUCUAUGUACCUCAUAGUUCCAGAGACCCCUGAGGCAACCCUGAGGCUCCAUACCAGCUUCACUCCCCUAAAUCCACCUCUGCUUUGAGCUGCAAAUGUAAUAGAAACUCUGCUUCCAGACUUCUAACAGUAAGGUGGGCAGGUCUCCUAUCCCCCCCCCCACGCCUUCUGUUUCUGGCCCAUUCUGUCUUUAUACAGAGUGCUGAUUGGCAAGACACCUCCCCCUUGACUCCACAGGGAGCUGAUUGGUUGGCCUAUAUGGCUAUUCCACCUUUCAAAUAAAAGAAAUACAAACUGUUUGCUGCUGCUUCUUCUGCUUCUUCUUCUUCUUCUUCUUCUUCUUCUUCUUCUUCUUCUUCUUCAAAAGAAAUCAGCCAGGUGCAUUUCAGUCUCAGCCUGAAGAGGAACACUCCUGUCACGUAUUUAGAAUAUACGGCAACAUUUUGUUAGAGAUCCUAUUGGUGUGUUCUUCUCCUGAACUAGUUCAAAAAUGGUCCAGCCUAAAAGAGCUGUUAUGUGAAAAGCAUUGUAAUACAAUUUCUGGUAGAUAUAGGAAGGACUAUUAGCAUCAUAGAUGAAGCAACCUAUACUUAGGAAUGCUCAACAGCUGAAUGCACAACCACCCCAGUUUUUGUAUGUGGGUCCAUGGAGAAAAUACAGAUCAAAAGCAAAUGUACUACUAAGGUAAAAUUUAAAAAAAAAAUACAGGGAGUGUUGCAGCUUUCUGAAUAGCCAAGACUAUGAAAGAGCAAACUGAUAUGAACUUACAGAAGCUAUCAGCUGUGCUGCUUGUUCCAUAAAGUUGUACUAAUGUUUGAAGUGACUAAAUGGGUCUGAGCCAUUACUCAGAAGCAACAGGAUAAUAGGGUAUUGACAGCAGCAUUCAUUAAUUUGAUUUCUUACUGAACACUUUGAGUGGACAUGCUACAGUAGUUGGAUCCUCAUUUCAGAUGCCUGUACAUAUUGAUAGGAAAUAAAGGGAAAAUUACAGCACUGAGCAUUGCCGCAAUGCAGGAGAUGAGCUAAUGGAACAUCACUGGGCAGGCAUCUCAAGCAAGUUGAUUGCAAAAGAAGAGAAGGCAGUUUGUUGUCAGCUCCAAAAGGGUGCAACCUUUCCCCCCCAGUGACUGUGAUCAAGACAGUGACGAGCCACUUCACUGAAGCUUGAAUGCUAAGACUUGGGUUUGCCCUCCCACACACUUUGGGUGGGCAGACAAACCGCAGACUGUCAUUUGCAGAGUCAAAAAGCACUGGGUACAGCAUUUAAUUACUGUGUUAACACUUGGGAAUGCUUUCUGUGCCAAGAGCCAGUUGCGGAGGGUUGGUGGUACUCGGCUGUCCUUUCACUACAGCAUAAUAACAGGAUAAACCUGCACCUGGGAUUGAAGCUAUGCAAGUGAGAGUGCAGGGAUGUGUUACCAAACGUCAUUCCCUAUGACAAAGCAAAGAUGCAAACUUUUUGCCUUACUUGUCCUAUUGUUCCUUUGUUCUCCUUGGAAAAAUGUUGUUCUUGGUAGUUCUGUGUGGCAACAGUAAAGGAUUUUCACAGUCUGAGCUUGGGUGACCAGGCCUUCUGUUCUUUUUAACACUUCUGUGGAAGGAAAUUUCAUUACCCUUGUUGCUUCUAACAUCCCUGCUUCACAAACCUCAAAUCUCUCUUUUACACAACUCUGCUCAUUAAAAUGCCUGUAGGGCAGCCUCUUCUUGGCCACCAAGAUAUUCUUUGGACUACAUCUCCUUCAUCUUUGACCAUUGACUAUGCUGGUGAUGAUCUCAGGACUCAAGGUUGUGGGAGGCUGAAGGCUGCUGUAGAGGCAUGGCCAGCCUAGAAGGCUUUGUAGCCUAAGGUGAAGGACAAGAUGGCGCCCUUCACCAGUACACAUACAGAAGCUGACUGGACUGGUAGAUGAGACUCACUUUGACACAAGCAUCCUUCCAUAGUUUAAGGGGUACAGUGCAUGCUGCAAGGCACACACAGUUUUGUCUUCCUGCAGAGGGGAAUGGCUGGAGCAACAGCCAGGAGAGCUGCCACUGCUGCCCUUCAACUUCUGCCACCAGAGGUGGCUGCCUAAUGAUAGGGCCAGUCCAGUGUGGAGUGUAUAGAGCUGUACAUUUGGUAAUGAACCCUACUAUUGCAGCUGUAUGAGCAACAUGCAUCCAUAGCUAAUGUAAUUUGUAGAUAGUGCUUGCUCCCACCCCAUCCUGCCCUGCAAACACACACCUAAUCAGGCACAUAUCAAGUAUUUGGAAUGCUUGAAAAGGACUAUUGGCACUAAAUCAUUUGGAUACUUAAGUUCUCAGUAAGUGUAUUUUACAUAGAAAAUCUGGGGGUUUUCCCAUUAGGAGACCAGCUAGUGACUGAAGGAAGGUUUCUAAAGCCAGAGACAGCUGCUGUGUUCCUGACUAAGCAAAAUGGAUGAACAAUCAACAAUGAGCUUACUCCUGCAUUUUUGAGUCAGACUUGCACUUUCCUUUAUGUCAUCUGAAACAUGUACAUAAAAGUAAUUGGAAUCCAACCUUUUGCCAGUGGUGGGAAUAAAAAAAUAUGCAAUUCAACAGCGUCUCUUCACUCAGCACUUCUUCUUGAUUACCUUGCAGAUGUUCCUGUCUGGUGUUGAUGUGUGAGAGAGGCAGGGUAAGCAGUGUAAUCCACACACAUAGGGUUCCUUGGUUGGAUUAUUUCUGCCAUUUCCUUCCUGGCUAGGAAAACUGUAUAUGCACGUAAACACAUAAUUGUCAGGGAGGGGGUCGCUUUCCUGAGUUCUCCCUCCAAGCUACUAAUCAAUCACACACAGGAACCAAACCUGUUACCAGGCUUUUGUUACCACCUGCCUGAGGGGCCACACCCAGCGAUACUUGCUCACAGGAUCACUACUUCAUGACAAUAAUAUUCUCCUAGUUAAAUUCCUGCCCUCUAACCACACAGUGCAUAUAUGCCAUUCUGCAUCUUCUUUUGAAUACACCAAGACAUCACGUUGAGAACAGCCAUUUCUUCUUUCAUUUUAAACUCUGCACAAUGAAGAAAGGGGAAAAUGUGAGUGCUGAUAUAAAUUAUUUCACACGGUUAGAAUGUUCUUAGGCAGUCAGAUAACAUCAUCAUCAAUAUCAUCAUGUUUAUGUUGCGUUUCCAAAGUAUUCCACGUGGUGUGUGUUUUUUAAAAAAAAUCUAUGUUUAUUUUUGUAUUCCAUCCCAUAACAUAAAGGUAUUGGGGUGGCUUACAACAAAUAAAUGAAAUAUAAUUUUAAUAUAAAAUUAAAGAUAAAACCAUAAAAUUAAACACUGCUUCUCACUUUCAGUCAAAAGUUACCUCAGUAAACCUUACCCUGCCCCCAAGAAAAACAACUUAAAACAACUUAUGAGGUGAGUCACUAUCAUAUCAUACAGGAGUUUGGGUGGUGAGUAGGAACUUGAGAAGAAAGUGGCUUAAUUAAGGCAGACACAGUAGCUUUGGGUACUUCCAGAUGCACGGCUUGAACUCAAACAGGUCAUUCAAAUCUGGUGGGGGUUUUUUCAUAGCAUGUUUGGCACUUUAGCUUCCACGCAUUCCUGCUUUUCCAGUCAUUGAUAAUCAUUGGUAUUCAACUCACUCACCGUCCAUUCCAUUGGAAAGAAGGGGCUUUGGUUGGGGGGAGGGGAGUUCUCCCUCCUUUCAGUCAUGUCUCCUCCACUUGCCACCAAAUUAUUCCAUUCAGGACAUGUGUACAAAUAUCUCUGUGUGCACACCUUAAAGUAAUUUUAAAAUCCUAGGAUUUGUGAAAGGGCAAACGUUUACCCACCUUACUUAUCAGGUUUCACAAUGGACAAAAAUUGAAGCUUAUGCUGUUUUGGUGCUGGGGUGGGCAGCAUCCCUUUCCAUUUAGAUCAGUGGUGGCCAAACUCGGCCCUCUAGAUGUUUUUUUGAGACUACAAUUCCCAUCAUCCCUAGCUAACAGAACCAGUGGUCAGGAAUGAUGGGAAUUGUAGUCCGAAAACAUCUGGAGGGCCGAGUUUGACCACCACUGGUUUAGAUGAUGUGUGCUUUUUUAAAAUAGUGAGAUCUUGUACAAGAGUGAUGUUUACCUGACUAAGGGAUACACAAGAAUGAUUAAGACUUCUUGCACAAUCACUCUGUAUUAACUGAUUCACUCACUACCAACUCUUAAUAGCCACUAUACCACACCUGAUGAAUGUUUUGUAAAUAAUUAAUCCAGCAUCAAACAACAGAAACUCUCUCAUCUCUCAAUUUACCAGAAAGGGAUUGCUUUCAGGCCCAACUUUACCAUUAGGCAGAGUGUGGCAGCCAUUUCCCGCAGCAGAUUUUGGGAGUUCUGAAAGGGCAGUAAAUUGUUACUUAUUUAAUUAUGAUUGUAAGCUAUACUUCAGAGGAGAAACACUUGUGGGAUUUUCUGCCUGGAGUGCCAAAGUAAUUUGGCCAGCCUUGUAUCCUGUACACCUUACCUUGGGGGGAAAUGGAUGCUAUUUGGUGCUAUGCCUCAGAAGGAAAAAUGUCUUGGGUUUGGCCUGUUUUCUUUCCCUGGAAGUUAUAAAUACAUUUUAGAGACUUCAGUGUCACUCCUUUCCUUUAAAACCUCCAUGCCUCACACUUCAGCUUCUCCAAAAUGGUUGUGAAAUUUAUUCAUGCAUGAACCAGCAGCUGAAUUUCUGUCAUGUAAUGUUCAUGUAUUCUAUCAUUUCCUUUGCUUUCCUACAGAGGUUUCUAUUUCCCUGUCUUAGCUACAACUGUUAAAGCUACUUGCAUUCUGCAGUGUUAUUGGAACACCAGAUUCUCUCUCUUUCACUUAAGGGCAAAGGAAGAGAGAAAGGCAAAGUGGGGAGUUUGUGUCCCUUGGUAUUUUAGUCCGUACGCUAAUAAUUGUAUCAGCAGGUUUAUAAGCUGAUGUUCUUUUAAUUGUUUCGCCCUCUCUCCUCAUAUGCAUACGCUAAUGGGCCCACUACCUCUUAUCCUUUCAUAUUUUUUUAAUUGCUAAUGGUUUAUCCAGUAAUAUAAAAUGACUGAUGGCCACAGUCUGAAAAAUAUAGAAAAAUCAAUAUGCAUCCAGACUCCAUCUGUAUAAGUAGAGAAGACAAGGAGCUGGCUUUGCAAGACAAAAGAAAUCCUUUCAUGGUUCUGCCGAAGUGUGCUAAAAUACUGACCAAUUCCCACAGCUUAGAGAAUGACGGCAUGGCGAAACAACAUGGGCCGUGAGCACUCCCUUGUGCUCCAAGUAAGAGGCAAAGCCACUUCUUGGAGAGCAGGAGUAGAAGAGAUCUAUUUGCAAUGAUGCUCCUUGCCUUCUUAUAGUCACCUGCUGGCCACCGUGUGAAACAGGAAUCUGGAGUAGAUGGGCUUCUAGAUAGGGUCUGUUUAUUUUCUUGUGUUUAAAUCGCAUGGGCCUAUGUACCGGUAGGUCCACCCAUAUUUGCGAUUCAACCUAAUCAGCAAAAUAUGGUACAGUGGUACCUUGGGUUAAGUACUUAAUUCGUUCUGGAGGUCCGUUCUUAACCUGAAACUGUUCUUAACCUGAAGCACCACUUUAGCUAAUGGGGCCUCCUGCUGCCGCCGUGCCGCCAGAGCCCGAUUUCUGUCCUUAUUCUGAAGCAAAGUUCUUAAUCUGAAGCACUAUUUCUGGGUUAGCGGAGUGUGUAACCUGAAGCGUAUGUAACCUGAAGCGUAUGUAACCCAAGGUACCACUGUACUUCCUUUCACUAGGUUCUCUAUUAUCCUUUCCUCUAGUCUGGUCCUGGGGUAAAAUUGAGCCAGCAGCAAUUUUAGACGUUUAUGCCCAUGCAGCAACAACCACAAGGUGUUAGGCGCAUUUUGGAACAUCAAUAAUCAUGGAAGUUUCUGAAGUAAACUCUGUGAGUUUCUGGCUCACAUUGCUCAUGGGAUGAGAAGGGGAGAGGAAGAGAUAGUGAAUUAAGAGGUGGAACUGGAAAUGGGGCAACUCAAAUGACAGGGGAUUGUAAUCUUUCAGGUGCCUCUAAUGUCUAGAGCUCAACAAGUAGUUCAAAUUUGUAAUGUAAGUAUGUUUCUAAAAUUCUAAGGCUGACUAUAUCCAGGCAUAUUAUAAAGAUAUUUUUUAUUUUUUUUUACUUCAUCACACCUUUGAGUUAUUUUUCAGCUGACUCUACAGCUUGUUUUAUUCUGUUUGGUUGUAUGUUUUUAUUGCUAUUUUAAGUUAGGGGGGUUAUAAUUGCUGUUGUUGUUAGUAUUGUAAGCACUUUGUUAGUAUUUCAAAGUAUUUUGUUAGUAUUGCAAACAAAAUACAGUGGUACCUCAGGUUACAUACGCUUCAGGUUACAUACGCUUCAGGUUACAGACUCUGCUAACCCAGAAAUAGUGCUUCAGGUUAAGAACUUUGCUUCAGGAUGAGAACAGAAAUCGUGCUCCGGUGGCGCGGCGGCAGCAGGAGGCCCCAUUAGCUAAAGUGGUGCUUCAGGUUAAGAACAGUUUCAGGUUAAGUACGGAUCUCCGGAACGAAUUAAGUACUUAACCCGAGGUACCACUGUAAAUAAAUGAUUCUACAUUGACUAUAGCUUAAUAAAAAUGUAACCCAAAUAGGCUAGAUCUGUUCUCCCAAAAAACAAAAGAACAGGUAGGACAAGCCCACGGUAUCCUUAAAUUAAAAAAGGUUUUUACUAAAGCAGGGCAAGAGCUCAUCCUCACUUCCACCUGUACAGUGCCUAUAAAAUACUGUUCUGAGCAGUUUUCUGCUUGACUCACACUUUUUAGGCUUGGAUCCAAGCGGUUUACCACUUGCCCUACUCCUUCCCAGGGGAAAACCCACUCUUUAGCAAUAGAUUGGAAGAAAUGGCAAUCCAAGGAAGAUCUGAAUUGCCAUUUGCUCCAGUGGUUUUCCUCAGGUGGGGGGGCAGAGGGCGAGAGGAAGUCUGGAUAAGUCCAACAAAUUCAUUCUUUCCAAAUUUAGCUAUAGAAAUAUGGGUCAAGUUACUUAAUCUCCCUUGCAAGGUGGACAACCAGUGGCACUGUGGAUCACCUUUUUGGGUUAUAACGACUGUGAUGGUGCCACUCCCUUUCAUUGUUUGUUUUUAUUGAUAUUUGGAUGGGGAGGGGUUGUGGGUGCUUCCUGGCGAGAGCAGGGAGCUUCGGGAGAAAGUGAAAUUUUGUUACACCUUUUACUAUGACGUUUAUGUGAGAGUGCUGCUUCUACCUAUAAAUACAUGCCUGUAUAUUUGGUGGGUGGGACUGUCUGCCUCUGCUGCAUUUUUGUAUUUUGGAUCUGCUAGUAGUUAUUGUUGGAAUAGGCUACAGCCUUUAAUUAACACCCACUGUCUUUAGAAGAAAAAGCUACUAAGGGUAUAGUCCCCAUAUGUUAAUUGUUUCAGUUUACACUGAUGUUUAAGAGGGUAUAUUAUUUAAUUGUUAUCUGUGCUGCUCUAAAAUGUGGACUUUUUACUUUACUUUUGUAUUUGACUUUUAAAAGUAGCAUUUUAGAAUGUUGUCAACGGCUUAGAGAAUUUCCUUGAAAUAUGAAGCUAUAUAUACAUAUUGGGCCGAUGGGGCUGGUCAACCUGGGAAGGUAUCUCAUCUAGGAGAAGGAAAACUUCUGCCCUGUGGUUGUACUCAUUUGUGAGAAAGGCUUUGGGGGUAAACCCCAAGGAAAAAUCUCUGUCCACUGCAUUGUGGGACAUCUUCGGGAGAAGAAAAGGCUAAGGAGUGAACACCACACAAAUCUGGAUUGGAGUCCCUAGGACAGUUGGAUGGUGUCUUGUAUGCCUCCUUCCAGCAACUCCUGCAGCCAAGGUGGUCGAAAUGUAUUGCUCUGCUUUCCUUUGGACCAAAACCUGGGGGCAGGGAUGUCUUAUCAUCUGGGCAGCCCAGGACCUCCAUAGACACUGCCCAGUCUUGUGCCCUGGGGAGGUCACUUUGGUGCUGCUAACACAGCAAAAGCAACACAGGAGGGAGCAGUUAUGAGUUACCAUUCCCUGCAGUCACAGUAGCUGCUGUGAUUCUCCAGUGGUUUGACUUCACUUGCGGAGGCACACUCCAUUGUCUCUCAAGACAGAUGGCUGCCAACAACAAACAUAUAUAUUUAUUACCUAAAUAAAUAAAAUAUAUUUUAAAAAACUUCUAGGUGGCACAACUAGCUUGUACAGUCUGUUAGCUAAGGCUCUUGGGCUUCACCAUCUGUCAGCCUCCAGGCCCCAGCAUCAUUGCAGCUUCCUGGGAUGGGGACGGCGGUGGAGAGGUCAGUGCUGGUACAGUGGAGCCAAUCCAGCACUCUCGCUGAUGCAACUGCAUAGUGCCAAACUUCUUGCCACUUCAACCCUCUCCCUUUCAGAAAGCCACUUCGCCAGUCUCUCCCUGCCAGACACUUUAAGGAAAAUCGGCAGCAAUGGGCAAUCUCUGUCCCAGGGAGGCUUGUACACCUGAUCCCUUUGUUGAGGCUUCUCUUCUAAUUCCCGUCCCCCAGCUGGAAAGUCACAAACAGAGACACACAGAGAAAAGUCAUAAGACCUAUUGUGAAACAUUUUUUUCUGUGAAUUAAUUUUUUUUGAAACUAGUUUCCUAGGCAAUCUCUGUCCCAGGGAGGCUUGUACACCUGAUCCCUUUGUUGAGGCUUCUCUUCUAAUUCCCGUCCCCCAGCUGGAAAGUCACAGACAGAGACGCACAAAGAAGAGUCAUAAGACCUAUUUUGAAACAUUUUUUUCUGUGAAUUAAAUUUUUUUGAAACUAGUUUCCUAGGCAACUUCUCUUCCACCCCUGUCUGCUGUAGUUCCCCUCCUUCUCCAUCCAAGGAUCUGUCCUUUUUCAGUCCUCCUCACCUUUAAACACCCAGCUCAACAAAUUCUUACCCAAGUAAGAACUUUUUCCUUCUGGGAAUCUCACUUGAAGAGUCCUUUCCCUGCUUGCACCACUUCAUGAUGAGAAUGCAUCAAUACCUCAGGUUAAGUACUUAAUUCGUUCCGGAGGUCUGUACUUAACCUGAAACUGUUCUUAACCUGAAGCACCACUUUAGCUAAUGGGGCCUCCUGUUGCCGCUGCGCCACCGGAGCACGAUUUCUGUUCUCAUCCUGAAGCAAAGUUCUUAACCUGAAGCACUAUUUCUGGGUUAGCGGAGUCUGUAACCUGAAGCAUAUGGAACCUGAAGCGUAUGUAACCUGAGGUACCACUGUACUGGGAUAGGGAACUUCUGGCUCUCCAGAUGUUGCUGGACUUUGGCUCGCAUCAUCCCUCACAAUGAGCUGGGCCACAAUAGGGAUUCAUUUAUGACUACAUCUGGAGGGCCACACUAGUUCGCCAUCUCUGCAUUAAACAUGAUCAUUUUUGUAUUUUAUUGUAAGCUACUCACAGCAUAAUUAUAUGGACAUGUUUAUUCAGAAGCAAGCCACACCGUGUUCAAUGUGGCUUACUCGCAAGUGGGUGUUACAUAGGAUUGCAGCUGUAGGCUGUAUACACACGUAGCAUUUGAAAUGCACAGGGGGCAGUUUUUUCACAGUACGUAGUAGUUUGCUUCACGCAAUAACAUCAUCUAAAGUGUCAGCUAAUAUCCAUGUUGUCUGUAGGUGGCCAUGUUUUCAAAUCAGUGUGCUAUCUACUCCCUGUCCUUCAAUUACUGUUUCCACAGACCAUUUUUUAAAGACACACACACACACACACACACACACACACACACACGUUCAAAGGCUUCAAAAGAGAGGGGCUGGAAACUGGUACAUUGAUAUAAUGAUAUACAGAGGAUAUAUAUCAAUAUAACUUACUAUACUGCUUCCUUGUUUGCCUGUUUCAUUCAUAGGCAAGUUAAACAUAGUGAGGGGAGCGACACAGUCCUGCAACAUCAUUAUGUCUGCUCCAAUAGGAAGUGACCUGAGAAAGCACUCUGUGUAUAAACAUGUAGACAGCAAGCGUUUCAGAAGUGCAUUCUUGGCACAAAACAGAUUAUAGCCAUUCCGGCAGAAUUCACUUUAGAUUGGCAAAUAGUGUGGGACAGGGAUGUCAUGGGGAUGACAUCAUAUGCACAGCAACCAAAAAAGGCAUCUUCAUCCAGCACCAAAUGCACAUUAUCAUGCAGUGUGUACAUGCGCUUAGUAGCAGCACAUAAUAUCUCUAUAGUAAGCUUGGAAGGAGCAACCUAUAUUGCUUUGUCCUUGCUGAACCAGCAAUUCAACAACUCUUUGCCCUUUCCGCUUGUCUAAAUGCAAAACGGGGAACAGCAGUGAAUCAACAUUGCUGAUCAUGUGACACACAGGCUCAACAUCUCCACAGAGGGUCUCUUUUUCUCUGCGCAUCCUCUCACCUCACCCUUUUCUUUUGCUCACCUCUCCAAAACCCAUAAUCUCAGUUUGGUUCAGCAAGUCCAAAUUAACUGGCUAGUUAAUGCUAUGAAAUGCUGCACAGAGCACAGAAAUGUUUGCUGAAAUUCUGUUGUGUAUUAAUGUUUUAUAAGAAUAAAACUUGCGAAAGAAAGAGGGGGGAAACACACCAACACCAGCUUUUAGUGGAAAAGAAAAAUAAAUGACAUUUUGUACUCAGAAUCUAUAGUUCAAGGUCCAGCGUAUGUUCAUUACCAGAAAUAUAGGAAAUUAAAAGCAGGUGUGGGGAGGUUUUUCUGAAUGAUGCCAGGGCUCAGCUCAGACCUUGGCUGGAAGGAAAUAAGUGUUUGCACACACCAAAUGACUGGCUUAUUGCAUAGUUGACGAACUGCCACAAAGCUUCAUCCAUUAAAAUCAGGCAAAUAUGCUCAAAUUAAUUUAAAGUAAAGCCCUGCUUGAUAACAGAUGCCAGUCAGAGGAAGGGCUUGUUGGCAUUCAGUAAACUUAAUGAGGAAAGUCUGUGGGACUGUACCACAACUUUUCUGGGUACCUUUAAAAAAAAAAAUGGAUAUCAGAGACAGCCAGAGAAACCAAACUGUAUGAAAGCUAUUUUUAGUAAGCAGUGGCAACAGAAAACAAACUCCAUAUUUUCACAAAUGCUCUUUCUUAAAAAGAUAAGAGCUGCAUUGCUGGUAGAAUUGCUAGCUGACCAGAUUUAACAAAGAAUAAAAAAAAAUCCCUGCUCUUGUUCCUUAUAUCAACAGCUUGGUGUGCAUAAAUCAAAAGAAGUAUUUUGGUGCAUACAGAUUAAUAGGUAAAGGGUCCCUGGAUGGUUAAGUCCAGUCAAAUUCGACUAUGGGGUGCAGCGCUCAUCUCCACUUUCAGGCUGAGGGACCCAGCGUUUGUCCACAGACAGCUUUUCUGGGUCAUGUGACCAGCAUGACUAAACCACUUCUGGCACACAGAACACUGACGAGUGCCAGAGCACACAGAAAUGCUGUUUACUUUCCCUCUGCAGCAGUGCCUAUUUAUCUACUCGCAUCAGUAGAUGUCCGGGAAAAUCCGGACGCAUGGCAAGCCAUGCCAGCAGUGUCAUUUUUGCUGAUUUCCCUUAAAAAUAGCUCAAAAUAGCUCAAAAACGGCAACAACUUUGCCAAAAACACUCAACAACUUUUGUGUCUGGAUUUCCACUUUUUGAAAUAUGGCAACCCUAGUGUUGGGACACAGGUGGCGCUGUGGGUAAAACCUCAGCGCCUAGGGCUUGCUGAUCGUAUGGUCGGCGGUUCGAAUCCCCGCGGCGGGGUGCGCUCCCGUCGUUCGGUCCCAGCGCCUGCCAACCUAGCAGUUCGAAAGCACCUCCGGGUGCAAGUAGAUAAAUAGGGACCACUUACCAGCGGGAAGGUAAAUGGGGUUCUGUGUGCUGCGCUGGCUCACCAGAUGCAGCUUGUCACGCUGGCCACGUGACCCGGAAGUGUCUGCGGACAGCGCUGGCUCCCGGCCUCUAGAGUGAGAUGAGCGCACAACCCUAGAGUCUGGCAAGACUGGCCCGUACGGGCAGGGGUACCUUUACCUUUACUUAACCCUAGUGUUGGAGGCAGUAUGCCUUUGAAUCACAUGUGUUGUUGCACUCAGGUCCUGCUUCUGAGCUCCCAUCUGAUUAGCCACUGUGAGAAUAGGAUGCUGGACAAGCCAAGCCUUUGGUCUGAUCCAGCAGGGCUCUUUUCAUGUUCAUACCUGGUAGUUUGGUGCACCCAGGGACGCAUGUCUGGAGCAAUGGCUGGGAACAUGUGGCCCUCCAGAUAUUGCUGGGCUACAGUUCCAUUCAACCCUUACCACUGGGAAUGCAGGCUGGGGCUGAUGGGGAUUGCAGUAUAACAACAGCUGAAGGGCUUAUCUCUGAUCUGGAGGCUAGAAGCAGGUUCAGUGGAUGCGGUCCUUCUCUAUCAGUAUAGAUAAAUACCUAGAGGAAUGACUGAACAGAGCUAGUUAAGCUCCUGGCUACACUGCGUCUUGAAUUCUGAAUGUUUAUUGUGCAUUGUGUAAAAUACAUGCUUUCUUUUCCUGUCCUCAUUCACAUGUUUGCAAUGCUUCAUCUGGGUUUCUUGGUCAGAGGGGAAGCUGGGUGGAAAUCUAAAAACAUGAUCUAUCCAAGAAAGAUGCUGAAAGAGUCAUGGGAGGUGAAGGGACCCAGAGUAAAAGAUAAACAGGUUCUGCGUUAGCUCCAAAUAAUUCUCAGUCUAGACUUCGGACAAAAAGUCUGCCUCUCUGUUUUUAAUUCCUUCUGCUGGAAAGAAAAGUGCUGGAAAUUGGUUCUUCCUCCUGCUGUAUGUUGAACACUGACUCAGGAAUGAAUGCCCUUCAGCUAUCCAGGAACUGCCAACUGAGGCCUUCAAAAGAGACUCACAGGGCCAAGCUUGAACAAGGGAAUUUCAGUCUGAACUUGGCCCCACCGAAUGCAGUGGUUGAAAGGCCCCCUGAGGCUGCAACAGUGCUGUAGUAAUCCAAGUAAACAGGGACAUUUUUUCCCCACCCCUAACUUUUCUCCAGUUAAACAGAACUCGCUUACGCAUCCAGUCGUUUAGGCCCAGUCAUGAUUCUUUUCAAGCAGCUGCCAACAGUUUUUAGUCAUCUUCUGGCAAAGUGUUUUUAACCACAAAUGUUACAUAGCUGUUGGAUGAGUCAUUGCUUUGAGUUAUCUAAUUCCUAGACCAGUGCAUGCUUGCUUCUUCCUGCAGUUCAGGAGAAUUCAAAUAUCGUAGAGGGUGCUGAGCAGAGCUCACUGCUUGGAAAGACAGGAGCACUCGGAGUCACUCUUGUCUCCAAGACAGGGAUCCUUGAGGAAUUUGAUCUUUGUGAACUGCACGCCUCCUGAUUGAUUGUGUAGAUUGAGACAUUAUUAUCCUUUGGAAUUCAUACUUUUCUGAAAUUUGUGAUACGGUUCUCAGCUCAAAAGAAUAGCAAAAAAUAAUCGUUUAGGAUAAAAUAUAUUUAGAAAUGUUGCAUUUUAAAUACAUAUUUGAAACAUUUUUAUAUUUUAAUUUCCAUCCAGUUUUUUAAAAAUUACAUAUUUAUUUUAUUUAACAGGAUUUAUAUAGCACUUAAUCAUCAAUAACCUCUAAGCAGUUUACAUGGAAUACACAUUAAUGUUGGAAUGGACUUACAAAUGGAUAUGUGAAACUGACAUGAACCCAGUAAUAGAUUAACCCAUCCAUCUCAAGUCUGAGAAAACCUUGUUAAGAUGUUUAAGACAAACAAGUAGCUCCAAGACAUGUUCCUGGACUGCAGACCUGCACAGUGCACAUGGUUGGUUUGCUGCUAGUUACAGGCAUCAAUAAUACCUAUAAGAUGUUUCCAGACAAUGGAGUGACUUGUGCAUAGGCUCCUGUAUCUGAAAAAGAGGCCCUGGUUUGUUCUCUGGGAUUUUCUGUUUCUUGAGCACAGAAAUAGAUUGUAUAGAUUGACUAGUUGGGUUUAUCAAGUUAUCGUCUGCCACACUGUUGUCAGGGUGGGUGUCAGGAGCAGGUCAGCAAUAACAACUCACAUGGUGGCAGUGAAGUUAACUCUCUUUAUUCAAAGAAACAAGACAGCUCAGUAGGCCAGGUCAAGUGAACACAGUAACUGUUCCUGGUAGAUCUUGUGCCAAUGAGGCAGUUGUGAGGACUGAAGGUCCCCACCUUCCCGCAGCUCUCUAGGUCCUUCCCAAGCAACCUGAGACGCCUUCGUCUUGCCUCUUUUUGUUCUGCCCGCUACAUGCCUCUUUGGGUUCUGGGAGACCAGGAUGGAGGGCAGCUGCCUGUUGCAGGAGGGGGAGGCAGCCUGACUUCCUCACCAGCCUGACCCAUCUCUGCCACUUGACCCCCCUCUUCUCCAGCCUCCACUUCUGAUUCUGGACUGCUCUCUGCCACAGCCUCUUCCUGUUCACUAAACCCUGUUGCCUCUUUAGUUUCUGACACCUCCUCCUACCAGACUUCUCCCUCUGACCACGCACCGUUGUCCCACCACUAAUCCCCAGGCUCUGAGCCUUCUUCCCUUGGGGUUUCCCCAGCUGGUGCCUCCCACCACUCCUCUAAAUCCAGCCAGACCAUGACAACUGUGCAUGUAACCAGCUGAUUAGCUGGCCAUCUAUAUCAGCCUGCCAAAACACUUCUGUAUCAGAAAUCUGGGAACCAGAGGAAUAGUAGAAUUCUAAUCAUUUGGCCAAAUGAUACAGGAGACUAGCUUAUCACAUGGUUACACGCUCAGUUGUUCAAUGCAUAACCACUUAGUAAAUGGCUGCCUGUAUUCACCCAGUGAGACUGAAAAUUCCAAAAAGGAGAAACACCCACAGAACCUGUUACUCUGAUGCAUUCAUGCACUGUGACUUCACAACAGUCUUGAGCAGAUGGUCAUUGAAUGCACAAAUAAAUAAGUGAGAGGUGAGACUGGUAUCAUGUCAAUUGGCCCUGCUUUCAACCUCCAUGUUUUCAAUGUGUCAUUUGCACAGAAAUGUGCCAGCUUCACCAUAGUGUAUAUAGGUCCAUACACACAAUUUGUCCCCUUCAUUUUUUUCGGAGUACAGAGUGCACCUAGAGACCUUAUACUCUAGAACCUAUACUCUUUGGGGUGCACUUGCAUUUGCUGUCCAUGUAUAUACAGUACAGGGGUUUCUCCACCCUCAUGGAGAAGUAUACUACCUUUUUUUUUUAAGGGCAAACAUUUACACAGGCUACCUUGCCACCAAAAUAGUACAUUCAAACUAAACCUAUACUGUAUCUAUUUACAGGGAUGUAAGUCCCACUGAGUUCCAUCAAACACUCCCAUUUAAGUUUCAGCCUAAAACAUAUCAGUUAAUCUGCUUAGCCUUUUUGUGUUUGGCAUUCAAAAGUACUGUAGAAUCAAAAGCAAAAUAUGAGAUCAGCAGUGAUGAGUGCAUAUAUUAUGUUUUGCAGUAUUUCAGUUUCAUUUUGUGGCUUUCAGUUGUUAGAAUUCUUAGUUACAGAAGUAUUACUUCUUUGGCUGUCUAGAUCACAGCAGAUGAGUAGUAUGAUUUAAAAAGUAUAAAAUUGGGUUUAGGUGACAGCUUUCACUCAACUCAUAUCUGUCAACCCAUGGGUAUGUAAAUAUAGAGUUAUGUGUAACUCACAAGCCUGCAUUCGGGGCCCACCCAAGAUGUUUUGCCCCUGCCACCUCUGUGGGUGUGUCCCAACCUCUGCCAUAGUUGUGCCAUGCCACCACCGCCAUGGGUGUGCCUUCCCCUUCCUACAUUUUGACAUGCUUAUCUCAUUCAGCCAGCUGAUAAACAAUCUACUAAACCAGAGUGGGUAACCUUCACCACAUGGCGAGUCCUGGCCUACCAGGGGUUCCAAUUUUACCUGUGAUGCCAUUAAAAACAACAACAAGAACAACCACCACACCCACCUGUCAAUCAGGUGACAUAACAUCAAUGGACAGGUUACUUCACUUUGAUGGGCAGGUUUGUGGGCAUGGUGGUUCCCUGCACCCAGCAGAAUUCAACAUCUCCGCCUCCCAUCAGCUGAUGGACAGGGAGAGGGUCAAUUCUGCUUGCUUCAACUUCACACACAGUCAAUCCUGUGGGGAAUAGUCGAUUCCUGCAGAAAGCAGUUCAGUUCUGCUUGGUUUGGCUGCGUGCACAGAGAAUUUGCACAUACAGUCAAUCCCUUCACCUAGCAGGAAUGACUUCAUCCACCCAUCCUUUAGCUGAUGGAUAAAGAGUUCAAUUCUGCUAUCAGUCUUGCCUACCUGUCAAAGUUGGCCCAUGCAGGUGGCAGGUAAAUAAAGAUCUGGCCCAUGGGGCCUAUAAGGUUCCCCAUCCCUGUACUACAGUAUACAGUCAGGAUAACUGUAAGCACUGGCAGAGGAACAGGGGUGCAGGGGGAGCGUACCGCCCUUGGUGGCAUGAUCCCGGUGGGGUGCCAUAGAGGCUGCCCCCCUGCGCUGGGUGCCACGCCCCCACAGGCAGUGCACCACACCCCCAGGACGCACGCCAUGCCCUGGGAUGCACGCCACACCCCCGCCUGCUCUCCACCACCCCCGCCAGAGCUUGAAGCUCCACCACUGAGUGUAAGAACUGCACAAGUUGUAAUAAUAAUGAGAUUUCCUACCCACCCUUCACCAUGAGAACCCAGGUUGAGUUGCAGCAAUUUAAAAAUACAAUAUUAAAAUCAUGUAAAACUAAAUGAGUAAUAGUGCAAUACUAUGCAUAUAUACUCUGAAUUAAACCUCCCUGUGUUAAGCAGGGCUUACUCACUGUGUGCUUAGGAUUGCAAUCUGUAGUGUAAUAUGGUUAGAGUGUUGGACUAUGACUUAGGAGACCAGGGUUCAAAUCCCUGCUCAACCAUGAAGUUCACUGGGUGACUUUGGGCCAGUCACUGUCUCGCAGCCUAACCUAUUUCACAGGGUUGUUGUGAGCAUAAAAUGGGGACGAGAACCAUGUGUACCACAUUGAGCUCUGUGGAAGAAAAGGUGGUAUAUAAAUGUAAGAAAUAAAAUGAAGUAAAUAAAAUGUAACGAAAGGUUUGCUUCAGUGUAUAAUAUGCCAAAUGCAAAGAGCUGAGGCAGUAUAGAGUACCAGAACCCAGUUUAUCUGCAGUAUCAUGUUAUGCUUUACUACUUGUUGUCUAAGCAUGGAUGGAUGAGCUAUACACUCAACCACAGCAAAAAGAAAUGCAGUAUGAAGAUCCAAGCGGUGAGGUGAUCAAAGGAAAGGGAAAUAAAUCAAAGGGGGGAAAUGGUUGUGCCGAGUGCUUCAGCCAUUUCUUCCUCUCCUUUCCCCCAUCCCAGCAUUUUCUUCGCUAGAUUCUUCAGUCUGCUAAGAUUUCAAGAUGUAUAAAACAUUACCAUCUUCCCCCUCCAAAAAAAGGGGGGGCUUUUCCUGACCUUACUUUAGAGUUGGACGUAUAUUACAUGCUAAAACUGUAGUGUGUGUGUGUUGAGGGACUCAAGGUGAUUUGUUUCAUCUCCACACUGGCUAUCCAAAUAAAUGCCUAUUGGCCUUAGACACAUAACUUUUCAUUAGGACUGAGAGAGCUUGGUGGGGGGAUUCUUUUGACUAGCAAGCUCUCUCUUUUCUUAGAUCUUGCCAAUGUCACAAAAAUAGAGUCAGCUUAAUUGCAAUCAAUGGAUAAUUCUCAGAGAUUUUUUUUCUUUUUUGCAUGGUGUAAUUAGCAGCUUUUUGCAGCUUUUUCUUAUCCCUAAAUUCGUCUGUUUUCUGUUUGGGCAUAUUUAGCUGUAGUAAACAAAAUUCUGCACAACCUUUUGUGCUUAGGAUUUCAUUCCCCCUCAGUGAGCAAAUGGCUACGACUAUGGCUGUGUGCACAUUGCCAGCUUAAAAUGCAGCUUGCUCGUUCUUUUUCUCAUUUCAGAUGGAAGCCACUUUGGAGGAAAAAUGUAUCAAAAUGCAGAAACAACAGGAUAGAUUCACAAUAGACAUGGAAUGUCCAUAUAUACAUGUACAAUAAAUCCUAAAUUUCUAGCAAUAGGUAUUCAAGUGUUCCAGAUGAAAGCCGGUUUGCUGGUUCCUUGUCAUUGUCCCUGCUGUUAAUAUAAUUAAUAAUAUCAUACCAAAGUGGUAGAAACUUGUCUGCUUUAUUCUGCCUCUUGCCCAUCUCAAAUUAUAGGUUAACUCACCUAUGUUUUGUUAUCUUGAAUAAUAUGCAGGAAUUCAGGCUUACAGUGUCUUUAAGGGAAAGAGUCAGAUCUGUGCCAGUUCUCUUCUAAUAACCAAGCAGCAUUAAACAGAGAUAUCAGAAACUGGAAAAGGAACAGCCAUUUUUUAUCUAAUCCAUACUGUGAUACAGUCCCCUAGGUUCUAGUAACAUAUUUAAAAUGCAGCAAACAAGCAGUGAACUUCUGUGUAAACAAAGACAAAGGCAUACUUUAAGUUGUUUUAAACUGUGUAAUAUUGUGUUUUUAAUAUCCAUGUUGUGUUUUGAUUGUUGUGAUCCACCCACCCUGGCACCUUUCGGUGAACGGCAGGUAAUAGGUAAAGGUAAAGGGACCCCUGACCAUUAGGUCCAGUCGUGACCGACUCUGGGGUUGCGGCGCUCAUCUCGUUUUAUUGGCCGAGGGAGCCGGCGUACAGCUUCCGGAUCAUGUGGCCAGCAUGACUAAGCCGCUUCUGGCAAACCAGAGCAGCGCACGGAAACACCGUUUACCUUCCCGCCGGAGCGGUACCUAUUUAUCUACUUGCACUUUGAUGUGCUUUCAAACUGCUAGGUUGGCAGGAGCUGGGACCGAGCAAUGGGAGCUCACCCCGUCGUGGGGAUUCGAACCGCCGACCUUCUGAUCGGCAAGUCCUGAUCUGAUCGGCUGUGGGUUUAACCCACAGCGCCACCCACGUCCCCGAACGGCAGGUAAUACAUUUUAAUAAUAAUACUGCCCCAUUUUAAUGUUGUAGAUCAGGAGAGCAGGUGGAUGGAGGAUAACAAUCUGCUCAAAAGAGGCAAUGGAGGUGAGGGAUGGAAGUGAUACCCAGCAUGUAGGCUGAGUACCACAGACAUGGGUGCCUUAGCGCUUGCCACUUGCAGGAACUUAGAAAGGAAAAGUAUAAAAUGGGCAGGAUCUUCUUUUGGGGUCCUGUCAGUUGGGCUUACAAAAGGCGGGGGUGGGGGCAUUUAUGUGUGCAUUCCAGAAAAACGUGUUGCUUGCUUGGUCCUAAUGGGAAAAGAGGGAUUUUUAAUUUUUUUAGCUGAUAUAAUAUUUUGAAAGAGACCAUCUUUGAAAGAGACUGGCUUUCAGCACAGGCAAGCCAUUUCACCUACUGCAUUUCCACCUAAACGUCUUACCAUUCAAACACUCCUUGACUGGAAUCUUGACCAGUCUGAGGGCCAUAGCUCAGUGGUAGAGCAUCUGCUUUGCAUGCAGAAGAUCCCAGGUUCAAUCCUCAGCAUCUCCAGAAGGACAAGAAGAGAACCUUUCCUGAAACCCUGGAGAAUAGCUGCCAGUCCCUGGGGACUAUACUGAGCUAGAAGGACUAAGGCUGUGCCUCAAUAUAAGGCAGCUUCCUGGGUCCUGUGCUUUAUUAUGUGCAUAUAGAUCUCCCUUGCUGGCUGGGUUGAGAGAAGAAAAUUCAUUGUACUUCCCUGGGUGUCUUUCUUUCCAAAUUUGUUUUUACCUUGUUCCACUAUAACCUGACUGAGAGGCAGGAUGGAAAGCAGCUGCAAAGCUUCAAUCUUGGACAUAAGUCAUUUUUUUCCUCAUGAAGAAGUGCAUUGCAGAUGGGGAAAAAAAAGAUGAAGCCCUUUGUUACUUAUAUUAUUUGUGCCGUAUUAAGCGGGUGGGUGGAGGGGCAAAAUAGCCAAAGAACCAUCAGGAAGGGGUUUGUUUUCAAGAUAGAUAUAUUCCUUAAUCCUUCACUGCAGUACUCUCAACUGUAAUGGAAAACUCAUCUCUCAUUAAAUCUCUUGGUGCUAAAGAAGGUGACCCAAACUCCCGUUCCAUCCAUUUGCAUCUUGCUCUGGCAGCCACCGACUCGUUAAUUUUUAAUAUGAAAUAUUUGAUGGUACACGGAGCAGCUGAACCUUGCGUAAUGUAUUGUUGCUUUCACCCCGCAUCUCAGAGCUAUGAGAAGUUCCACUUUGUGACAUCAGAACUGCAUUACAGAAAGAUAUCUUCAUAUAAGACAUUACAGAUCUUUCCCAUCUCUUGCGUUGCUGCAGUGCAAGCCAUUUUUUCUUUACCAUCAGAAGGCACAGGCCCACAAAAUCUCUGCUGUUAUAAUCUUUGCAAAUUUACAUUCUAGUGAAUCUUAGACAUGACCAAACCACCUACUGUGGGAAAGCUGUUGGACUGAUUCCUAAAAAUCAAUAGGUAGUCCAAAAAAGCACAAGCUCCCAUCUACAAACAGUGUAUUGUCCUGGGCAGACUUUUUAUCCAGGGUUUACAUGAAGCUCCAAAGCUUUGUAUUGCACAAAGCCUUUCAAGGCACUGCUGCAGGAAGAUCUAAGGGACAUCCUUCCAAUCAUAUUGUCCCUCAAGGGCAAAUGGUUUGCUUUUCUUUCUUCUGUUACCCUGACCAGUCAAAUCCAUUCCUUGGAACUAACUAUCCAUCUGUCCAGUGGAACAUUGUUCAAAACAAGCUGUCCUAGUCCAUUCAAGUUAGCAGCAAGAAAUUUCUAUCCCUCUGCCUACCUUCCCAGUCCAAACUUAAGGCACCUCUCAUCCCCCAGUUUCUUUUACACUAUGAAACGCAUAGGUUUCUGGCUUGCUCUCACUGCCAGAAUUUGCUUCUGGAGUGCAGGAACUGCAGCCGUCUGAAACUGCUGGAACCAGAAUGUGUUGCUUCUCAUUCCUCCAUUCUGGCUCAGUCACAUCAGCUGACAGUUCUUUUCUGUGUAAACACAAUCCCACUCUCACACCAGCAUUAUUCUCACCCCGCUUCUCAAAUAGUGAGGGGUGCAGGGCUUACCCAAGUCUGGUUUUCUUUGAAAGAAAAGUCACUGGAGGCUUAGAGACAUUUUAUCAUAUUUUCUUUUGUUUACAACUGUACAGGUUGGGCACAGGAGGAGGCACAGUUUAAACACUGCAACAGAUAACCAAACAGAUAACCAAAGUCCCAUGUUAGAUCUACAAGAAGACAGCUAGGAUCGCAAGAAGAACCCAAACUCAGCUCUCUGUCUCUUCCUCUGUGUAUAUAAAGCACCUACACCCACACAAAGGAUCCUGGGAACAGUAGUUUGUUAAGGGUGUUGGGAAUUCUAGCUGGAUAAACUGAAGUUCCAAUUAUUUCUUUGUAGGGGUACUUUAAGUGUAUAGAGUGUAUUCAUGCCAACUGCAACAUCCACAGUGGGGGCUGAGGGGGGUGAAAUCUGCUUCCCUCCCC